CGGGGUUUCACUCUUGUCGCCCAGGCUAGGGUGCAGUGCCACAAAACUGUAUAUAUUGAAAAUAUAUAUAUAGUGAAAAAUAAGUCUUAAUUCUAAUCUUCCCUAAAGCCAAUCACUUUGAUCAAUUUCUUGUAUAUACUACUAAAGCUAUUUAUAUAAAUACUGGUGUGUGUAUGUCAACGUGUGGUAACAUACUAUGCAAACUCUUCUGCUUUUUCCGGUUAACAAUAUAUCUUGAGAUUGUUCCAUUUCAGAAUAGUUUAACAUUGACUAGUGGGAAUGUAACAUGGUACAGUUGCUGUGGAAAAC
rnacentral:lncRNA from 1 species